GUAGUAUUCCAGUACGUCACAUGUUGUAUGUGCUUUAAAUUGUAUGUAUUCUGUAAAUUGUUGUAUGGGGUUGCUGAGAUUUUAUUGCUUGUGACCCAAACUGUGAAGAAGUGGGUUUGAAAUUUUGCUCAUGAAAUAUAGGAUCAGAAAACCAUGGACAAAGGUUUUAACCUGUGUUGAUAUGACUUUUGGAAACUCAAACUGACCGGUCAAAAUUUUGCCAUGCCUUUAACAUGGAGUAGUAUAAAUAUUUUGAGUCUUUGAGAGUUCUGACAAAUGCAGGUGAUACCAUGUCUGUGUAAUCUGGUCCAAAUGUUCUA